AUAGUCCAUCAAGAUAUUCGUUUACGAUAUCAGACGCAAACUGUUGUAUCGUGCAGACUAUACCAACUUCGAAGAAAAACAAGGGUAGGGUAUGCGUUCAUACAAUGUCAUGUAUCGCUCUCGUGAGGCAAAAGGUGAUGAUACCGACCACGAUUAUAACGGAAGUGAUCAAAUUACACACCGCGCAUGGUGAUUGUUUAGUUUGCGGCUAUGUGGAAGGGUUAAGUUUCCUUCUUCUUCUUUUUUUGGGUCGUCUUUAAUUUUGUGAUUGUCUUCGUUUAGCACUUAUGUUUUGUAUGUUAACCGGGUUUGCCGGUUUGGUGCACUUUACUUUUUAGUUUUUAGUUGGGGCUGACCAGAGAUGUGUUUCGCUUGUUUGUUCUUAUAUGUUUUAAUUAUUGAUAGUUGUGUUUUGAGAAUACACACGUAUCAUUGGAGAAGCAAGUCAAAAUGGCAGUCGAACUAAUUAACAAAGCUACAUGAAGCUACAAGGCAAAAUUGGUUACCAACAUACGUAUGUAGAUUUCUCAAAUAUUGAAGUCACAGUUCCUAAAACACGCGGCUCUGAGAUGGUGAAAACAUGUCCAUGCAAUGGGGUUUGGUUUUGCUGCCUCAACAACUGAUGGUCCACGUGCUUUCGAUUUUAGACAAGGAGAUGAUGAGGUAAUGGAUUUUGGAGAUUAGUGAGGAACGUAUAAAAUCCUGGUCCGGAACAGGUCCAAUGUCAGAAACCAAAACCCAUUUUACUUCACUCUGCCUCGAUUUUUUAUGAAAUUUUAAAUCUUCCUAGAGAACGGGUAUCUUUUUCUGGUGAUGAAGAUCUAAUGCUGGUGGUUCUUGACAGGUCAAAAAGAAAAAGAUCAUAUGAUCCUGCUUCAACGGUUAUGGCCUAUACUUACUACAAACAACUAAAAUGAAGAACUUUGUAUCCUAAGAUCAUUGUGUGUUGUGUUUCAACUAUACAUUGUGACCUUGUUUCAGUUUUCAAACUAUGUAUCCUCUUUGUUUCAAGAUGAACGUUCAUGUUAGAAUGGUCAGCUAAUAGGUGUCCACGUUAUU